CAGAUUACAAGUGGACACCUGAGUCAGCAGGACCUGGAAUCCCAGAUGAGAGAGCUUAUCUACACGACUCAGAUCUUGUUGUCACCCCCAUUAUUGACAAUCCAAAGGUGCAGAAAGCACUCUGACAAAUAAUGAAACAACCACCAUCGGUUAAAUUUGAUGCAAAAAUAUUGCAUCUACCAGCAUUUUCAGUUAUAAUUUCUGAAAGACCAAGAUUGGAAUGACUUUUUGUAACAAGUGUGCUCGCAGAUCGACUCCAGUGAGAAGAGCUCGGGGACCUCCUGAGCCAAGCUUAAUCUCCUUUGCUGUUUGUGAGUGGUGGCUGGUCACCAGGAGGUGGCCACCAGGCUCCUCCUUUCCCCACUGUUCCAAUUGCUAAUCCAGCAUUUGUGGAUAGCUGCAAACUGUGAUAUAUGGGCCAAGGUUGCUCGGGUGAUUGGUUUACUGGCUUCGCACAAAACUGAUCUCCAGGAAAAUACACCUGUUGUUGAG
rnacentral:lncRNA from 1 species